UACAGAGGUCCCGAGCGUUGUUCGGAUUCACUGGGCGUAAAGGGUGCGUAGGUGGCAUGGUAAGUUUGAUGUGAAAGCUCAGGGCUCAACCCUGAAAUGGCAUUGAAUACUACUGUGCUGGAGGUUUGGAGGGGGGACUGGAAUUCUCGGUGUAGCAGUGAAAUGCGUAGAUAUCGAGAGGAACACCAGUGGCGAAGGCGAGUCCCUGGACAACACCUGACACUGAGGCACGAAAGCCAGGGGAGCAAACGGG
rnacentral:rRNA from 1 species